UUGACAGUUUGGCUUCCCUGUUCUGGGUGGCAAAGCCUGUGGAGUACUCACCUACCUGCUGCAUGAAGGCAGCAUGGAGGGACUGUGGUGGAUUAUCUGCAAAGAUGGCCAAAAUUCUCUCAUCCCUGCAGGCACAUACAAGGAAAUUGAGGUAUACGGAAUGCUUAUUUGGUUUACUCAGUAUCAUCCUAAAUGUAUGUACCAAUGCUUAGGAGUUUGCAGUUCACCCGCAAACCUCAGCGAUCCAAGCUCCCCUGGAUGACCAUCACUCACCAAGAAAAGAACAAUAACAGGACCUGUUUUGCUAAUCCAGGACUGUUCUCCAGCACUAACUCUAAAUAAUCCCUUCUGCUAGAGUCCACUUUCUGGAACCUGUUGGAGAGGACAUCUUACUCUUAUUGGAUCAUGCACAGUGCCUGAAGCAUUCUGUUGCAUGUAGAAAUCAGUAAAUUGCAGAUGUAAGAUUCAAAACCAGACUUCACAUCUACCGACUUCAGUGACCCUGAAAUUUGUUCACAGAGAGCAUUUAACAUAACUGUCUUCAUCAUCUCCUUCUCUACAUUAAAAAUUAUGGUUCACACAGACGUUAUUGGUGAUUCACUCUUGAGUCAUGAAAAGUCAACCUUGAGCCACAGAAAGUCAACCUUGAGCCAUGCAGAGUGGAGAGUCAUACAUGCCAUUCCUGGGACCAUCAAAAAUGGCAGAGGUCACACAAAAGGCAAAACUUUUAAGAGGUGUUUUAAACGUCGUAUGG
rnacentral:lncRNA from 1 species